rnacentral:rRNA from 1 species
UACGAAGGGGGCUAGCGUUGUUCGGAUUUACUGGGCGUAAAGCGCACGUAGGCGGAUCGAUCAGUCAGGGGUGAAAUCCCAGAGCUCAACUCUGGAACUGCCUUUGAUACUGUCGAUCUGGAGUAUGGAAGAGGUGAGUGGAAUUCCGAGUGUAGAGGUGAAAUUCGUAGAUAUUCGGAGGAACACCAGUGGCGAAGGCGCUCACUGGUCCAUUACUGACGCUGAGGUGCGAAAGCGUGGGGAGCAAACAGG